GCUUUAAGAAGAGUUGUCGGCUGCGUUGGACUAAUUACCUGAGACCUGAUUCUAAGCGAGGUCCAUUUCAACCAGAAGAAGAAAGAACUAUCCUUGUGCUGCAUGCAAUUCUAGGCAACAGGUGCUAUGGCAGAAGAAAAAGGUGUUGGCAAUGUGACUGGAUCACGCAAAUCUGAGAACCCAGCGCAAAAGGGUUACAGUCCUCAUGACUCGUGUCACAGUGGGAAAUUGCAAAGGUAUGCACAGAUUCAAUCCGGAAUCUAAAAAUAAGUUGUUGGGAAACGAUAUGCAGAGGCCAAUUCCAAGGCGCCCACUGAUCGUUUAUUGAAGUUUUGCAACUCGAAUCCCCAUGCAAGGCCUUAAGGAAAAAGACUACUAUGAACAAUAUUGAUAGUGAGAAUCCCAUGUACUAGAUCAUGACCUAGGGAACGACUUUUCAUGGACUGAUACAAACCCCAGUUAACCUUAAGUUUAGUUUCAUCCUUUUGUUCUAGUUUCAACUCAGAUCAGCAUAUAAGUGAUCAAGCAAGGAAUUAUUCAAGGAAGUCAACUUAGCUGAUUAGAAUGAGAUUGCUGGACACCAUAAUCAUCCCUUUAAGGGUAUUGAAGGAUCUUUUAGAUUACCUUCUUUGUAAUAAUAAACUAACAUCGGUUGAGGUUGGACAUAUUGUGAGUAGUUUUGUUAUCAAUAAUGUUAAUAGGAGAAUUCCAAAGAAGGCCUUUUAAUUGUCUUACAGGAAGGAUCUUGGUAUCAAGCAAUCCAAUCAGCUGAAUUGUCUUCCUUGUGAAUACUUGCAUUUGGAUGGUCAUUGAUAAGCUGAUUUGACUAGAAACAAAGGAAAAGGAUGAAACUGGUCUUAAGAUUAUGUGGGUACUUGUAGUAGUCCAUGAAAAGGCAUUCACUGGAUCACGAUCUAGUCCAUGGGGAUUCUUACUAUUGUGAUUGUCAUUGUUAAAUUUGGAAAAGAUUGGAGGAAUAUCUCUAUGUAGUUUUCCUAUUUAAUAUUUUUAAUAACAUGUAUCCACAAAACACAUUUGUGGAAUCAAGUGUUGCAUCUAUUAAUCCAAACUCUACUUGCAUAUUAGAAUUCUA